AACGAACGCUGGCGGCAGGCUUAACACAUGCAAGUCGAGCGCCCCUCCUUCAAGCAAGCUUGAAGGUCCUUUUGGCCGGAGGCCAAGAAAGAGGAUCAAGCAAGCGAAGCUUGCUUGAUGGAGGGGAGCGGCAGACGGGUGAGUAACGCGUGGGAAUCUACCCAUCUCUACGGAACAACUCCGGGAAACUGGAGCUAAUACCGUAUACGUCCUUUUGGAGAAAGAUUUAUCGGAGAUGGAUGAGCCCGCGUUGGAUUAGCUAGUUGGUGGGGUAAUGGCCUACCAAGGCGACGAUCCAUAGCUGGUCUGAGAGGAUGAUCAGCCACAUUGGGACUGAGACACGGCCCAAACUCCUACGGGAGGCAGCAGUGGGGAAUAUUGGACAAUGGGCGAAAGCCUGAUCCAGCCAUGCCGCGUGAGUGAUGAAGGCCCUAGGGUUGUAAAGCUCUUUCAACGGUGAAGAUAAUGACGGUAACCGUAGAAGAAGCCCCGGCUAACUUCGUGCCAGCCGCCGCGGUAAAAC
rnacentral:rRNA from 1 species